rnacentral:rRNA from 1 species
GACAGAGGGGGCAAGCGUUGCUCGGAAUUACUGGGCGUAAAGCGUGCGUAGUCGGUUAUUUAAGUCGGGCGUGAAAGCCCCGGGCUCAACCUGGGAAUUGCGUUCGAUACUGGAUAGCUAGAGUUCGGCAGAGGGAAGCGGAAUUUCUGGUGUAGCGGUGAAAUGCGUAGAUAUCAGAAGGAACAUCAGUGGCGAAAGCGGCUUCCUGGACCAGAACUGACGAUCAGGCACGAAAGCGUGGGGAGCAAACAGG